ensembl:lncRNA
UUUCUACAGAGCCCGCGCAGUUUGAAACCAGCCUCCAGGAAGAGUCCGUGGUCAGUGGAGCAGGAGAACUUUACCUCGGCAUCCAAUCAUGCAUAAAAGUCCGCGUUAUUGCAGCCGUUCUGGAUCUAAAGAGAGCCUUUUUGUUAUCGGUGUCAGCAGCAGGACUGGACGUAGAUGGAGGAUUUGUUUGACUGAGUUUUCCAGGAGUUGGAGCCAAGGCCGAAGCUGUAAUUCUGACCUCUUACUGACCAGCUGACUGCCCCAUGGCACCUCACCAUAAAACAGCUGGAGCUGCAGUUAAAUGCAACAUUUGACAUCUGUUUUGCUGUAGAGAAACGGUGCCCCAUGAACCACUGCACAGACGAGUAUAAUUAAGAGUUUCAGUGAAUCCUCCUUCCUCAACCUGUAUCCUUGACAAAUGCAUCAUCAUGUGGCUGCUGUAUUUAUCAUGUCAUGUGAUCUGAACAUGGUGAAAAAAACAUUGUGAAAAAAAACUAAACAAUAACAACAUGAAGCUCAUGAUGCAGUACUAUCAUGGAUGGAUUAUUGGGAAAACUCAAUGUUUUUGUUUUGCUACAUGUAAAAUAGUGCAGCCCAUAUUUAUCUCUGACAGAAGGACAGGUCCAAAUUAUACAAAAUCCUCGGGCUCAGGGUCAGUCUGGCCUUCAAAAAGUUUCAUAUUCAUCCAGCCUGUGCGGUCAUAAUUCACACUACUGCUCCUUUCACAUGUUUGUUCUUGGCUGUGAUUCCAUUGGAUGCGUCAGGGCCAGAAGCAGAAAGUUGUGCAAUAUGAAGUCAAUAAUCAAGGGGUCUUGUGACAUACUCAGUUUCAGUUUAUCACAAAACUGACUAAACUGUUCCUAAAGCAGUUUUUCCUCUCAGAAAAUAUGAUUGAGAAUACAGCUACCUGAUCUGUGUUUGAUGCUGCUGAUUUAUCCAAAUGUUUCCUUGUGUCUUUGCACAAUGAUUUGUUGUGAUAACCUCUUAAUGCAGGCUUUUUGGAACAGCGAACUUGAGCUUUGAUUGUGUAAGAGGAACAAGGAUGCAUAAUAGAAAAAUGUUACAUAAAAAUGAUGAAAAACUUUUUAAAAUGUCAUUUAUAGCCCACCAUUGCAUGUCUGCAUAAGCAGCUGUGGAGCCAGAAAGAGACCAUUCUUUGUAAACCCUGCCCUCUUGUGGAAAACCUGUACUCUGCAGCUAGAGGAGGUGAUAAUCACAAAAUCAUAAUCAAGCUACAGUACAUGCUACAUUACUACUAAUCUUGCUUGAUAAAAUUGGUGCUACAGAUCAGACCAGCCACUGUGUGACUGUAACCAAAUCGGUACAAGUGAAACUGUUCAGAAUAACUCUCCUGAGCCUUUUACUUUUCUUAUUCUUGUAUCUGCAAUGCUAAGGUUCUGGGAAAAACAGUUGCAGGGGAGACCAGGGAGGGGAAAAAUGCCUUUUAACACCCAGGUCUGUAUAUGAGAAAGUCAAACGCUGGCUCUAUGAUCACGCUGUCAGCCAGUCUGCCUCAAACAGUCAGUGUGUGAUCCGGUCACGGGUGACGGAGCACAAUGAGGUCUAAUGGUGCAAUGAUGGGACAUCAAGGGAGAGGCCGGGACUCUGCUUGUGGGAAUAAAAGGUCAGGACACUGCAUGUUUACGCAGGAGAUAUAAAGUCAUUAUUGCUUUACAGUCCAGGUUACAGGAACACCUGAUGAAUGAGCAACCCGGAUGAUGAGAAGGCACUUUUAAUGACGGCAGUUUUCCUGAAACUGUGGGACACAUAGUUCUGGGCAGCAAGUAUUUCCCGACUAUGCCCUUCAUUUCUGACUGAUGAAAAUAAUCCCUGGUCUGCAGAUUUCAAAUGGCACAUUGUAUCAUUAAUAUUUGGUAAUAUAUAUUUCAUUCUAGAAGAUUCUGUUUGUUCACGUUUUGUGCAUUUUCUACAUUUUUGUAAACCUUUUUCCUGAGAAUCUGGAAUUCCCAGAAUGCAGGAUAAAAAAAAAAAAAAAUAGAUGAUCAAUUACUUGUUGACUGUGCUUUUAAUGGAGUACAAAUGUAUAUUUAUAUAGUCCCUUAAAAGAAUAUUUAAUCCUCUUUGCUUAAACACAAAUGGGAGAGUUUGGAUGCACCUGUUUGGCAGUAAAAUAAUAAAUAUUGGAUUAUCUUUUGAAGGAAUAAUGCUCAUACUUUUCCUUGUAGAAGCUACAGUAAAGAGUAUGGAAGCUUUUCUGUCCUGUGGUGGUUUAUUAGAUAGAUAUUCCAGGUAUUCCAGUGUCACAGCAGUUUCAGGGCAGACAUAACACCACACAUUUCCUUAAAAACUUCCAUACAUAAUAAGUUAAAAAGAAACAAUGAAUAAAUACUAAAAACAUUUUUAAAAAGUUUAAAUAUCUUCUAUGAUUUUUCACUUGACUGUUAAAAUCCUUUAUCCAUUAAUGUUUUGAUUAAAAAUAUUGUAAUUAACCAAAACUAAAGCUCCAAAAUAAUUUAUCUCAGUAUUUUGAACCACAGAGAUCAAACUAAACCUUUUGAGAUGUAAAGUUUUUAUGACCGUUUGCCUUGAAACUGGAAUCCUCUGUCUGCCAUCCAUCCACGACCUGGACUUUAAAGCUUGGUGUGAUGUCUGGUCUGUUGUGGGAAUUGUGACACCUUCUUUGCAUUAAAACACAG